ACAACCUUUUUUCGUAGCAGAAGUAUUUACCGGUUCUCCAGGGAAAUAUGUUGGUCUAGCAUAAACAAUUCGAGGAUUUCAAUUGAUCCUUUCCGGAGAAUUAGAUGGUCUUCCUGAACAGGCCUUUUCUUUGGUAGGUAAUAUCGAUGAAGCUACCGCGAAGGCUAUGAACUUAGAAAUGGAGAGCAAUUUGAAGAAAUGACCUUAAAUCUUAGUGUACUGACCGAAGGCUAUGAACUUAGAAAUGGAGAGAAAUUUGAAGAAAUGACCUUAAAUCUUAGUAUACUGACCCAUAAUCUAAUUGUUUGG
rnacentral:lncRNA from 1 species